AUGGACCAAUCCAUCCCUUUUUCCCGUGCAUAUGCAUCGGACUCGGAUGACGAUGGUCCCGAUGAAGAAGUUGAUGAGGAGGGGUUCACGCCGAAGGAGGCCCAAGCAUUCAAGAAGGUAUUCGGGCGGGAUCACAAGACACCAUUGUUCAAGGAUCUUAGUCUCGCGGAUGAAGCCGUUGUGGAUGGUGGCAAAUGCAUUUCUCUUGGAGCUAGGCCAAGUUCUCAC
rnacentral:rRNA from 1 species